rnacentral:lncRNA from 9 species
UAGACUAGUUCUGACUAGGAACUGUGAUAAACUCUAGGCCCAUACAUGUUGCUGCAAAUGGCAUUAUUUCAUUCACUAUUAUGGCUGAGAAAUAUUCCAUUGCAUAUAUGUACCACAUCUUUAUCCAUUCUGAGAACUUUUUUUCUGUAGCAAAAUCCAAUAACAUUUCCAUCCUUUUAUAAUAUGAUAUUAAUAUGGUAAAUUUCCUUUAAUCUAACAGUGCCCUCUUACCCAAAGCCUAGCACAUUUUUGUGUCUUUCUUUUGUUAGAAAAGAAACCAGUUUAUUUGUCCUAUAGAACUGCCUACAUUCAAGUUGGCUGGUGGUAUUCUUGUGUGCUGGGAAGCAUUUAACAUGCUCCUCCAUCCUAUUAUUUCUUGAAAACUGGUGGGUAGAUCGGGAAGCUUAACCAGUCUAUUCUCCGUUUUUCUUUUUUCUUUUUUGGCAGGAUGGCUUUAUGGGGAGUGUAUCAGACACCACCUUGCACCAUCCAGGAGGCCUGAAAUGUCUGAGUGCUCUAUUUUAGUGAUGUUAAGAUCGCUCAGCUGAUGUCACCCCAAUCCUUCCAUUCAACUUCUGCGUGACAGGAUUUCAACACUGAGGGAAGCCACUCUGAGUUUAUGAUCCCUGCCUAGAUUUUCUCAUCUGUUCAAGGGAAGAAACAGGACCAAGGAUGUUUAAUGAUUUGCUCAAUAUCAUUUGUUUGUCAACAAAUAUUUAUCAAGCCCUCCUCCCCCCCUGGAAGAAUCCACUGCUCUUUCUAUGUAAAAUUUCAUCACUGCUCCCCAGGUUUCCAUGUGGCUCAGUUCUUAAAGAACUUGGUAACUAUGAAAGCUGCCUGGAGCAGACCACAAGCCUCGGGAGGAUGUUUUAUAAACACAGCAAUAUCAAAGAGCAAUAUCAGAGUUCUGCUGUCACACUGGACUUUGUCACUGCCCAGAGCCCUUGGCCAGUGUUUUCACUGAUCAUGACUAAUUGUUGGCAAAGCUGCAAGGAGAAGUCAUUCUCAUAUCCUGCUGGGGGAAGUGUAAAUUGAGAACACCUUUUGGAAGACAAUUUGACAGUCCAAUUAAGAACCCAGAAAUGUAUAUAAAUUAUAUAUUAUAAGUUCACCAUUAAGACUAUCUUGUGAGAAAGUAAUUCAUCAGAUGUUUGUUUAUAAAAUUUGGGGGGGGGAUCCUCAAUAUCCAAUCAGAGGCUUAAUUAGAUCAAGUACAGCUACCCAUAAAAUGGAAUACAAUUGGACCAUCAGAAAUAUAUGAUAAAAUGAGAAAG